AGCGGCGGACGGGUGAGUAACGCUUGGGAAUCUGCCUGUUAGUGGGGGACAACCCGGGGAAACUCGGGCUAAUACCGCAUACGCACUAAGGUGGAAAGCCGGGGACCGCAAGGCCUGGCGCUAACAGAUGAGCCCAAGUCGGAUUAGCUAGUUGGUAGGGUAAUGGCCUACCAAGGCGACGAUCCGUAACUGGUCUGAGAGGACGACCAGUCACACCGGAACUGAGACACGGUCCGGACUCCUACGGGAGGCAGCAGUGGGGAAUAUUGGACAAUGGGGGCAACCCUGAUCCAGCGACGCCGCGUGGGUGAAGAAGGCCUGCGGGUUGUAAAGCCCUUUCGGUGGGGAAGAAAAGCCUCGAGCUAACAUCUCGGGGUCUUGACGUAACCCAUUAAAGAAGCACCGGCUAACUCUGUGCCAGCAGCCGCGGUAAUACAGAGGGUGCGAGCGUUAAUCGGAAUUACUGGGCGUAAAGCGCGCGUAGGCGGCUUUGCAAGUCGAGUGUGAAAUCCCCAGGCUUAACCUGGGAACUGCAUUCGAGACUGCAUAGCUAGAGUAUGGGAGAGGGAAGUGGAAUUUCAGGUGUAGCGGUGAAAUGCGUAGAUAUCUGAAGGAACAUCAGUGGCGAAAGCGACUUCCUGGACCAAUACUGACGCUCAUGUGCGAAAGCGUGGGGAGCAAACAGGAUUAGAUACCCUGGUAGUCCACGCCAU
rnacentral:rRNA from 1 species